rnacentral:piRNA from 1 species
UAGUCAAGUUGACAAGCAGGAUAGCCAU